AUUGAACGCUGGCGGCAUGCCUUACACAUGCAAGUCGAACGGUAACGGGCCUUCGGGUGCCGACGAGUGGCGAACGGGUGAGUAAUACAUCGGAACGUGCCCGAUCGUGGGGGAUAACGAGGCGAAAGCUUUGCUAAUACCGCAUACGAUCUACGGAUGAAAGCAGGGGACCGCAAGGCCUUGCGCGGACGGAGCGGCCGAUGGCAGAUUAGGUAGUUGGUGGGAUAAAAGCUUACCAAGCCGACGAUCUGUAGCUGGUCUGAGAGGAUGAUCAGCCACACUGGGACUGAGACACGGCCCAGACUCCUACGGGAGGCAGCAGUGGGGAAUUUUGGACAAUGGGCGCAAGCCUGAUCCAGCCAUGCCGCGUGCAGGAUGAAGGCCUUCGGGUUGUAAACUGCUUUUGUACGGAACGAAAAGCCUUCUUCUAAUACAGGAGGGUCAUGACGGUACCGUAAGAAUGAGCACCGGCUAACUACGUGCCAGCCGCCGCAGUAACAC
rnacentral:rRNA from 1 species